rnacentral:rRNA from 1 species
UACGUAGGGGGCAAGCGUUGUCCGGAAUCAUUGGGCGUAAAGAGCGUGUAGGCGGCUCGGUAAGUCCGCUCUGAAAGCCCGGGGCUCAACCCCGGGAGGCGGGCGGAUACUGUCGGGCUAGAGUCCGGAAGAGGCGAGUGGAAUUCCUGGUGUAGCGGUGAAAUGCGCAGAUAUCAGGAGGAACACCAAUGGCGAAGGCAGCUUCCUGGUCCGUAUCUGACGCUGAGGUGCGAAAGCGUGGGGAGCGAACAGG